rnacentral:rRNA from 1 species
CAAUAGCGUAUAUUAAAGUUGUUGCAGUUAAAAAGCUCGUAGUUGGAUUUGUGGCGUACGGUGUGUUCCGGGCACUUGUUGUCGGAGUAACCUGCUGUUGCCAUCCUUGGGUGGAACCUGUGUGGCAUUAGGUUGUCGUGCAGGGGAUGCCCAUCAUUUACUGUGAAAAAAUUAGAGUGUUCAAAGCAGGCUUAUGCCGUUGAAUAUAUUAGCAUGGAAUAAUGAGAUAGGACUUUUUUGCUAUUUUGUUGGUUUGCGCAAGAAGGUAAUGAUUAAUAGGGACAGUUGGGGGUAUUCGUAUUCCAUUGUCAGAGGUGAAAUUCUUGGAUUUUUGGAAGACGAACUACUGCGAAAGCAUUUACCAAGGAUGUUUUCAUUAA